CUACGGGAGGCAGCAGUGGGGAAUAUUGCACAAUGGGCGCAAGCCUGAUGCAGCCAUGCCGCGUGUAUGAAGAAGGCCUUCGGGUUGUAAAGUACUUUCAGCGAGGAGGAAGGCAUUGUGGUUAAUANCCGCAGUAUUGUACGUUAUCUCGCACAAGAAG
rnacentral:rRNA from 1 species